rnacentral:sRNA from 1 species
GCCGGGCACGGUGGCUUAGCCUGUCAUCCCAGCUCUGGGGAGGCUGAGGCAGGAGGAUCGCGAGUUCAAAGCCAGCCUCAGCAAUGUGGAGGCACCGAGCAAUUCAGUGAGACCCUGUCUCUA